UACGGGGGGGGGCAAGCGUUGUUCGGAAUUACUGGGCGUAAAGGGCUCGUAGGCGGCCAACUAAGUCAGACGUGAAAAUCCCUCGGCUUAACCGGGGAACUGCGUCUGAUACUGGAUGGCUUGAGUUUGGGAGAGGGAUGCGGAAUUCCAGGUGUAGCGGUGAAAAUGCGUAGAUAUCUGGAGGAACACCGGUGGCGAAGGCGGAUCUCUGGGCCGUAACUGACGCUGAGGAGCGAAAAGCGUGGGGGAGCGAACAGG
rnacentral:rRNA from 1 species